AGUGAACGCUGGCGGUAGGCCUAACACAUGCAAGUCGAACGGCAGCACAGUAAGAGCUUGCUCUUACGGGUGGCGAGUGGCGGACGGGUGAGGAAUACAUCGGAAUCUACUUUUUCGUGGGGGAUAACGUAGGGAAACUUACGCUAAUACCGCAUACGACCUACGGGUGAAAGCAGGGGAUCUUCGGACCUUGCGCGAUUGAAUGAGCCGAUGUCGGAUUAGCUAGUUGGCGGGGUAAAGGCCCACCAAGGCGACGAUCCGUAGCUGGUCUGAGAGGAUGAUCAGCCACACUGGAACUGAGACACGGUCCAGACUCCUAAGGGAGGCAGCAGUGGGGAAUAUUGGACAAUGGGAGCAAGCCUGAUCCAGCCAUACCGCGUGGGUGAAGAAGGCCUUCGGGUUGUAAAGCCCUUUUGUUGGGAAAGAAAAGCAGCAGGUUAAUACCCCGCUGUUCUGACGGUACCCAAAGAAUAAGCACCGGCUAACUUCGUG
rnacentral:rRNA from 1 species